rnacentral:rRNA from 1 species
CAGCCGCCGCGGUAAUACAGAGGGUGCGAGCGUUAAUCGGAUUUACUGGGCGUAAAGCGUGCGUAGGCGGCUUCUUAAGUCGGAUGUGAAAUCCCUGAGCUUAACUUAGGAAUUGCAUUCGAUACUGGGAAGCUAGAGUAUGGGAGAGGAUGGUAGAAUUCCAGGUGUAGCGGUGAAAUGCGUAGAGAUCUGGAGGAAUACCGAUGGCGAAGGCAGCCAUCUGGCCUAAUAAUGACGCUGAGGUACGAAAGCAUGGGGAGCAAACAGGAUUAGAUACCCCCGUAGUCCCUGUCUCUUAUAU